rnacentral:rRNA from 5 species
UGACUGGGGUGAAGUCGUAACAAGGUAACCGUAGGGGAACCUGCGGUUGGAUCACCUCCUUACCUGAAAGAAGC